rnacentral:rRNA from 1 species
CAGUAGUCACGUAGUUUGACUCCUGGCUCAGAACGAACGCUGGCGGCAUGCCUAACACAUGCAAGUCGAACGAGACCUUCGGGUCUAGUGGCGCACGGGUGCGUAACGCGUGGGAAUCUGCCCUUUGCUUCGGAAUAACAGUUAGAAAUGACUGCUAAUACCGGAUAAUGUCUUCGGACCAAAGAUUUAUCGCCUUUAGAUGGGCCCGCGUUGGAUUAGCUAGUUGGUGGGGUAAAGGCCUACCAAGGCGACGAUCCAUAGCUGGUCUGAGAGGAUGAUCAGCCACACUGGGACUGAGACACGGCCCAGACUCCUACGGGAGGCAGCAGUGGGGAAUAUUGGACAAUGGGCGAAAGCCUGAUCCAGCAAUGCCGCGUGAGUGAUGAAGGCCUUAGGGUUGUAAAGCUCUUUUACCCGAGAUGAUAAUGACAGUAUCGGGAGAAUAAGCUCCGGCUAACUCCGUG